UUCCUGGUCUCUGCAUCUGAGGACUCCCAC
rnacentral:piRNA from 2 species